AUUUGCUUAAUGUCAACCGUGACACCAGCAUUUUCGUCUGUUAAUCUGUGAAAGCCUAUUCGGGCGUGAGAUGGAACGCCACUGAAAAAAAGAAUAUUUUGCGUCUCGUAGAAGAAAUGCUAUGGAGUUAGUCUUGAGGAAUAUCUUCGGAUUUCGAGUUUUAUCUGAUGUAUUUGUACAAUUAUUAGUGUGACAGUUUUCCGAUUAGAAGGAAAAAAAUAUUGUUUAUCGGAAUUCUUAUGUAGGCAUAAGGCUUAAGUAUACAUAAGGCAAAGGAAAAAUAAUGGGAGUGUACUUUGGCCCAUGAGUGCAGUGCGCAGCAGAAAGUACCCAGAUGAAGCUUGCAUCAAGGACCACGAAGAUUGCAAUAAGUCCGAAACGAUAAUCCAUCGUGAAAGAGACGUGUGUAGAUAUGGACUAUUCGAUAUUCCUUUGGCAAGGAUAAGCGACCAUAGAGAAUACGCAGGGGAAUCCAGCUCCCCUCUUUCUCUCUUAAUUCUACGAACAUGCGACGAAAAGAUAAAAGAGCAGAAAGAGAUGAGAGAAGAAAACACGUUAGACCAGAGUGGGGAGAAAUCCUUGGAAAAUGAACAUGAGAUCAUACUCAUGAUCAUCGCAUGAUAUUCUAGUAAUGAGGAAAAAGAAGAAACAUGAGUCAGACAUGACAAAUCAUCUUCGAUGACCAAUUGCAAAUCUUCGCGUACUUAAAAACGAUCACAACGGAUAAACUAGUUAAGAAAAAGAUGAACUACUAAAAAUAAUAAGGGAAAAAGCAGGAAAAGACGAAAUAAAGAAGAGUGCGCGUCAGACAAGAGUGGAGAGAGAUGUUGACAGUAUGUGGAUCAUGAAUCUUUCUUGCAAUCUACGGAAAAGGUAACGUAAGAGGGAACUCUAGUGUAAACGCCAGGUGUGUUGACUAUCGCGCAGCCCAGACCUAAGCUAGUGAUACCGACCACAUAG